rnacentral:rRNA from 1 species
GACGAACGCUGGCGGCGUGCUUAACACAUGCAAGUCGAGCGGUAAGGCCCUUUCGGGGGUACGACGAGCGGCGAACGGGUGAGUAACACGUGGGUGACCUGCCCUCAGCUCUGGGAUAAGCCUGGGAAACUGGGUCUAAUACCGGAUAUGACUCCAUGACGCAUGUUGUGGGGUGGAAAGCCUUGUGCGGCUGAGGAUGGGCCCGCGGCCUAUCAGCUUGUUGGUGGGGUGAUGGCCUACCAAGGCGACGACGGGUAGCCGGCCUGAGAGGGCGACCGGCCACACUGGGACUGAGACACGGCCCAGACUCCUACGGGAGGCAGCAGUGGGGAAUCUUGCGCAAUGGGCGAAAGCCUGACGCAGCGACGCCGCGUGAGGGAUGACGGCCU